GUGAGGGUCAUCUGGCUGUGACAUCUGUUAUCCCAUUGAUUUCCAGGGUUGAUUGGGCUGAUCCAGCUGCCUAACUGGCUGUCUUCUUCCUCCCUAUCCACUCCAUCACACAUGUCCAUCCUGAAGCAGCACGCUGGUAGAGGGUGAUCUUCCUGGAUACUGGAUUGUCUUUCUUAGGUCAGAUAUAUGCAGGUAGCUGUACUCUGCUGCUAGAACCUCCAAACAAGCUCUCGAGGCCCAUUUGUAGGAGAACAAAGGGUAAUCAAGCUACAAAGACUUUAAAUAAACGCAACUGAGGCUCUGCAAGUGGCUGUCUGCCUUUCUU
rnacentral:snRNA from 1 species